AGCGAACGCUGGCGGCAGGCUUAACACAUGCAAGUCGAACGGGCCCACCGGAGUCGGCUGCAGAUGGGUGUGGAGCACGGCGGAACGUACCCUUUGGUUCGGCAUUACACUGUGACACUAGCGCUAACAUCGGAUACGCCCUUUUAGGGCAGGGCUUGCUUUCGAAGGAUCGGCCCGCGUCUGAUUAGCUAGUCGGUGUGGUAAUGGCCUACCAAGGCUUCGCUAAGUAGCUGGUCUGAGAGAAUGAUCAGCCACACUGGGACUGAGACCCGGUCCAGAAUCUUGCGGGAGGCAGCAGUGGGGAAUACUGGACAACGGGCGCAGGGAUGAACCCGCCAGGCCGGGUGAGUCAUGAAGGUGUGAGGGUUGAAAAGCACGUUUGUACGGGACGAUAAUGACGGUACCGGAAGAAUAAGCCCCGGCUAACUUCGUG
rnacentral:rRNA from 1 species